rnacentral:rRNA from 1 species
AGAGCGAACGCUGGCGGCAGGCCUAAUACAUGCAAGUCGAACGGAUCCUUCGGGAUUAGUGGCGGACGGGUGAGUAACACGUGGGAACGUGCCCUUUGGUUCGGAACAACUCAGGGAAACUUGAGCUAAUACCGAAUGAGCCCCCAUCCUUAAACAAGAUGGGUGGGAAAGAUUUAUCGCCAUUGGAGCGGCCCGCGUCUGAUUAGCUAGUUGGUGGGGUAAAGGCCCACCAAGGCGACGAUCAGUAGCUGGUCUGAGAGGAUGAUCAGCCACACUGGGACUGAGACACGGCCCAGACUCCUACGGGAGGCAGCAGUAGGGAAUCUUGCGCAAUGGGCGAAAGCCUGACGCAGCCAUGCCGCGUGAAUGAUGAAGGUCUUAGGAUUGUAAAAUUCUUUCAGGCGGGGACGAUAAUGACGGUACCCGCAGAAGAAGCCCCGGCUAACUCGCGCCAGCAGCCGC